rnacentral:rRNA from 1 species
UGGGGAAUAUUGCACAAUGGGGGAAACCCUGAUGCAGCAACGCCGCGUGAAGGAAGAAGUAUUUCGGUAUGUAAACUUCCAUCAGCAGGAAAGAAAAUGACGGUACCUGACUAAGAAGCCACGGCUAACUACGUGCCAGCAGCCGCGGUAAUACGUAGGUG